CCUACGGGUGGCAGCAGUGAGGAAUAUUGGUCAAUGGACGAGAGUCUGAACCAGCCAAGUAGCGUGAAGGAUGACGGCCCUAUGGGUUGUAAACUUCUUUUAUAUGGGAAUAAAAUGUUCCACGUGUGGGAUUUUGUAUGUACCAUAUGAAUAAGGAUCGGCUAACUCCGUGCCAGCAGCCGCGGUAAUACGGAGGAUCCGAGCGUUAUCCGGAUUUAUUGGGUUUAAAGGGAGCGUAGGUGGAUUGUUAAGUCAGUUGUGAAAGUUUGCGGCUCAACCGUAAAAUUGCAGUUGAAACUGGCAGUCUUGAGUGCAGUAGAGGUGGGCGGAAUUCGUGGUGUAGCGGUGAAAUGCUUAGAUAUCACGAAGAACUCCGAUUGCGAAGGCAGUUCACUGGACUGCAACUGACACUGAGGCUCGAAAGUGUGGGUAUCAAACAGGAUUAGAUACCCGAGUAGUC
rnacentral:rRNA from 1 species